rnacentral:rRNA from 1 species
GGCUUAGAAGCAGCCACUCAUUAAAAGAGUGCGUAAUAGCUCACUGGUCGAGUGAUUCUGCGCCGAAAAUUUAACGGGGCUAAAUUGUACACCGAAGCUUGGGAUACAUCUAAUGUAUGGUAGGAGAGCGUUGUAUACGGGGUGAAGUCAGAGCGGAAGCGCUGGUGGACUGUAUACAAGUGAGAAUGCCGGAAUGAGUAGCGAGAAUUAUGUGAGAAUCAUAAUGGCCGAAAGACUAAGGUUUUAGAAGGAAGGUUCGUCCGCUUCUAGUUAGCCGGGAGCUAAGGCGAGGCCGAGAGGCGUAGUCGAUGCACAUACGGUUGAGAUUCCGUAGCUACCUUGCAUUUAAGCGAAGGGACACAUUUGAAGGGCAUGACCCGGGCGUUGGUUGACCCGGGCGUAAGGGACCGAAAAUAAGUAGGGAAGCAUGCUUGGAUGGUGGCGAGAAAAGCUUCGUGUAUAUAAGCAGGGUACCCGUACUGCAAACCGACACAGGUAGUCAGGAAGAGGAUUCUAAGGCCAUCGGGAGAAGCGUUGUUAAGGAACUCGGCAAAUUGACCCCGUAACUUCGGAAUAAGGGGUGCUCACGCGAGUGAGCCGCAGUGAAUAGGUCCAGGCAACUGUUUAUCAAAAACACAGCUCUCUGCUAAAUCGUAAGAUGACGUAUAGGGGGUGACACCUGCCCGGUGCUGGAAGGUUAAGAGGAGGGGUGCAAGCUCCGAAUUGAAGCCCCAGUAAACGGCGGCCGUAACUAUAACGGUCCUAAGGUAGCGAAAUUCCUUGUCGGGUAAGUUCCGACCCGCACGAAUGGUGUAACGAUCUGGGCACUGUCUCAACUACCCACCCGGCGAAAUUGUAGUACCGGUGAAGAUGCCGGUUACCCGCGGCAAGACGGAAAGACCCCAUGGAGCUUUACUGUAACCUGAUAUUGGGUUUCGGUAUUUUAUGUACAGGAUAGGUGGGAGACUAUGAAACUAAGGCGCCAGCCUUAGCGGAGUCGCCCUUGGGAUACCACUCUUAAAGUACUGAAAUUCUAACCUGCGGCCGUGAAUCCGGUCGGGGGACAUUGUCAGGCGGGCAGUUUGACUGGGGCGGUCGCCUCCAAAAGAGUAACGGAGGCGCUCAAAGGUUCGCUCAGCAUGGUCGGAAACCAUGCCUUAGAGUGUAAACGCAAAAGCGAGCCUAACUGCGAGGCUGACGGGCCGAGCAGUAACGAAAGUUGGAGUUAGUGAUCCGGCGGUAUGUGAAUGGAAAUGC